rnacentral:rRNA from 1 species
AAUAGAUACCCUGGUAGUCCUAGCCGUAAACGAUACUCGCUAGGUGUCGGCCACGGUGCGACCGUUGUCAGUGCCGUAGGGAAGCCGUGGAGCGAGCCACCUGGGAAGUACGGCCGCAAGGCUGAAACUUAAAGGAAUUGGCGGGGGAGCACCACAACGGGUGGAGCUUGCGGUUUAAUUGGAUUCAACGCCGGAAAUCUUACCGGGACCGACAGCAAUAUGAAGGCCAGGCUGAAGACUUUGCCGGAUUAGCUGAGAGGUGGUGCAUGGCCGUCGUCAGUUCGUACUGUGAAGCAUCCUGUUAAGUCAGGCAACGAGCGAGACCCACGCCCACAGUUGCCAGCGUACUCUCUGGAGUGACGGGUACACUGUGGGGACCGCCGCUGCUAAAGCGGAGGAAGGAAUGGGCAACGGUAGGUCAGUAUGCCCCGAAUAUCCCGGGCUACACGCGAGCUACAAUGGUUGGUACAAUGGGUAUCCACCCCGGAAAGGGGACGGGAAUCUCCUAAAACCAAUCUUAGUUCGGAUUGAGGGCUGCAACUCG